rnacentral:rRNA from 1 species
CAGUCGCCGCGGUAACACAGAGGGUGCGAGCGUUAAUCGGAUUUACUGGGCGUAAAGCGUGCGUAGGCGGCUUCUUAAGUCGGAUGUGAAAUCCCUGAGCUUAACUUAGGAAUUGCAUUCGAUACUGGGAAGCUAGAGUAUGGGAGAGGAUGGUAGAAUUCCAGGUGUAGCGGUGAAAUGCGUAGAGAUCUGGAGGAAUACCGAUGGCGAAGGCAGCCAUCUGGCCUAAUACUGACGCUGAGGUACGAAAGCAUGGGGAGCAAACAGGAUUAGAUACCCCCGUAGUCCCUGUCUCUUAUAA